rnacentral:rRNA from 1 species
CCUACGGGUGGCUGCAGUGGGGAAUAUUGGACAAUGGGGGGAACCCUGAUCCAGCCAUGCCGCGUGUGUGAAGAAGGCCCUCGGGUUGUAAAGCACUUUCAGUGAGGAAGAACGCCUGGUGGUUAAUACCCAUCAGGAAAGACAUCACUCACAGAAGAAGCACCGGCUAACUCCGUGCCAGCAGCCGCGGUAAUACGGAGGGGGCGAGCGUUAAUCGGAAUUACUGGGCGUAAAGCGCGCGUAGGUGGCUUGAUAAGCCGGUUGUGAAAGCCCCGGGCUCAACCUGGGAACGGCAUCCGGAACUGUCAAGCUAGAGAGAAGGAGAGGAAGGUAGAAUUCCCGGUGUAGCGGUGAAAUGCGUAGAGAUCGGGAGGAAUACCAGUGGCGAAGGCGGCCUUCUGGACUGACACUGACACUGAGGUGCGAAAGCGUGGGUAGCAAACAGGAUUAGAUACCCUAGUAGUC